rfam:Halobacillus sp. BBL2006 cont560, whole genome shotgun sequence.
UAACCUUCCCAGCGAUGGGGAGCUGAACCGGCAGAAGUCAGCCGAGGUCAUAGUACUUCUUCUACUCUAGGGAAGACAGGAAGGAC